UUCAGUUUAUAGUAAGGCAGUUUAUUAUGAGACAAAGAUAUUUGGCAAAGCGUGCACGGACUCCUUCGUUUAGCUCAUAGGGAACUAGCAGAAGAGAGCCCCGAAACAUAGUAUACAUCCAAUUUAUACAAUGAAAUAACAGUGUGUUGACGUUGAGUCUAGUAGGUCCGCUCUCCUGACUGGUCGAUGAGUGGAGGGACGGUCCACUCUCCAGGUGGUGUCGACUUCCCAUUGGCCCUUGGCAGUGUCCUUUGUCCUCGGAGUCCAACACACCUAAGUGUGUGUGUGGGUGUGUGUGUAUUUCUGGUAAUUCGUGUCUGGGUGCUUGCGAUAUUCAUGGAAUGUUGUGCAAAUGCCCUCCUUAUGUAUCAUUAGGUAAAACGUUAGAUUAUCUUUAUUACAAAUCCCCCUCUUCACGUCUGCAAGACGUGACAAAAAAGAACAAUCUGCGGCACAGCGGGAGUGAAAACAAAUUUUGAGACAAAUUUUGUGAGUCCCCCUCUUCACGUCUCACCUCAGCAGAUAGCUUGUCAAGUCUCAAUAGGGAUUAAAAUCAUAUCAUUUCCAUUACAAUCCACCCGUUUUGCUAGAUAUUUCACAUACAUUAUAACACAUCUAUUUUGAUUGGAUUCAGAAAUUUCACACAAAUUCAAACUAAUUCAUGCAUCCCAAUAGAUGGUCUCAUCUAACAUGUGCUCCUCAUAUUUGAAUGAAUCCUCCACCUUGCUCGGCGGUAGGUACUUGUCAUCUCAUUGAUCUGAACUUUGACUCGGUCCGUAGCUCACCAUCUGCUCCGUUAUCAUCUCUCUAGAGUUCUGGUGAUUAAACCUCUUGCACACGGGACCAAACAACAACCACACAACCCAAACACACUCAUACAGGUGAAAGCAGCCCAUAAUACAGUUCUUGCAACACUUUUCCAUUUCCCAAACAUGAGCUGUGUUAUCUAAAAUUUACGUACAGCAAUGAACCUAAUCAUUCUACCUACACCAUCCUCUUUGCCCGUAACCUAUUGAGAGUCAGUCUAUUUUACCAGGUCAUGAGGGAGGUGGCGGAUAAUUGGUCAGAGAACCUCUUUACUGCAUCCCCUGUUUCAUUCAUGAAUCUCUGUUGAUUAAAAUAUGUCAUUAAUUCAAUCCACAUUAUUAUUUAUUGUCAACUACCAAAAUAAUGUAGUGUUAAAGCCUUCACAUAUUUGAUUCAUAGCUUUGUAUUCAUCUGGAACUUCCCUGAGGAUGCCAAUAGCAUCCAUCUUGUAAAGCUACUCCCAUCCUGGUCAAAACUCCUCCUGUGCCUACUUUAGCCUCCUAUAACUGGCCUCUGAUGACUAACUCGAACUGGUUAGACCAAUAACCCCAGGGUGCAAUUCCUAACAACCCUUUGUGGUAAUUUCUGUCGUAUGCGUCCUUUGCUGGUACUAGCCCACCCUUCAUCAGUUAUAGGUGCUAUGAGGUUACACAUUUUCUCCUGUGCUUUCAAACCUAAGUCAGUCAUAUUAACAAUUACCUUUCCAGCCAUUAAAAUCAUCUUAAUUCUCGGUGCCAUUUUUGUAUCUAUAACACUGGUAUUCAUCCGGAAUUUAGGUGAACCGAGGUGGGUUGGCUGAGUACUUCAAUCUGGCCAACCCAUAUUCCUGUACAGUUGUCUGCUUCCCCAGGAAAUUGUUUAAUGUUUACCUUAAAUUCUACAUCUUGAUCUUCUUUGAUUCCUUAUUCUGUACGUCACUCAUCAGUGUAUUAUAUAGUUUAUCUUUUACUUCUUCUCCAUGACAACGGUAACCUAUGUUUAGUACCAGUAGGUGGUGGAUCUGAAUAUAUCAGAAAGAUUAGACUAUGAUGCAGCUCAGAGUCUCUACUCUUCCCAAAAACCGUCAACCCUCUCCUGCCCUUAGUCUCUCUGCUUGGUACCACCCCAUACUCACACCUCUAGGAGCACACACAGUGAUGAACGGUCGGGAUAGGGAAUCUUCGUUAAGGAGGUAACCCCCGGACCCUGUUGGUAUCGGUUCUUCUCCUAACUCUGUGUGUGAUCAGCAGUGGUCAUAUGUGUACAUACCUCCUUGCAGUGGGUAACGUGGACCCAAGUGACUCUCUCAGCUUUUCUAAUGGCAAAGGCAAUGGUUUAACAGAACCUGGUAUGGGCCUUCCCCACGGGGCUGCUUCCCGUCUUUUCUCCUCAGGGACUGGAUCCACACCCAGUCUCCUGGUUGGAUUGAGUGAAUCACCUUCUCCUGUAAUUCACCUGUUGAACACAAAAUCUUGGACAUACGGGUUUGGUUAACAAACAGUCUUCUCAUGUGCUCUGCUAGUAUAUCUUUAACUUCUA
rnacentral:lncRNA from 1 species